GCAAAGUGCAAAUUUGAAGGAGCACCAUAAGCGGUGCCGGGGCUU
rnacentral:tRNA from 1 species